UAUGCGCAUGUUGUUGCUGUGCAGCGCAAACGACGACGACAGCGACAAAUGUGUAGAUCAACAGAUCAGUCACUCGAAAAGCGAAACUAAAAAGUAACCAAAUAAAAAAAAUGAAACAAAACAAAAAGAACGUUUCGAAAAAGACAUUUUCCACCGAACAAACACACACACGGACACACAUAAAAGCCGCAGGUAUACAUAUCUGUAUCUGAGUGUGGAGUAUGUUUGUAUAAUCAUGUGAUACCAAAAUAAAGAAAAAUGUGAAAAUCAAAUAGCAGCGACAGCGGCCAGGGCACUAAAAGUCACAAGCAAAAGUGGAGCAAUAAAGCAAACAAACCCGACCAAUUUUCUGUUGCCAUGUACAACCCCAGACCACAACAGCACCAUCCUCAUCCCCAUCCCCAUUCCCAUUCCCAUUCCCAUCGCCAUCGCCAUACGCAUCCGCACUCCCACGAAACCAUCCCGUCAAAACCGAACCAUCAAACCAUCUUCAUCAUCGCCACUAUCACCAUCAACCCGUCCAAUGUCACAUGUAGUUUCGAAUCGGACUAGAAAUAUGCAAAUGCCGAGCACCGAAAUUGAAUGCAAUUAAAAGACACACACAAUAUCACAUCACACACAGUUUACAUAGGAAUCGUAUUGAAGAUAUCAGCUACAGUAUCUGUGACGUCCUAUACCUUCUGGUUGGAUAAGUCUUUAAGACACUUUUGACCUUGAGUGGG
ensembl:ncRNA lncRNA:CR43287 long non-coding RNA:CR43287